GAAUCUUCCGCAAUGGACGAAAGUCUGACGGAGCAAUGCAGCGUGAGUGAUGAAGGUUUUCGGAUCGGAAAGCUCUGUUGCCAGGGAAGAACGCUUAGGAGAGUAACUGCUCUUAAGGUGUCGGUACUUGAGAAGAAAGCCUCGGCUAACUACGUGCAAGCAGCCGCGGUAAGACGUAGGGGGCAAGCGUUGUCCGGAAUUAUUGGGCGUAAAGCGCGCGCAGGCGGUCAUUUAAGUUUUGUGUUUAAUUCCAGGGCUCAACCCUGGGUCGCACUGAAAACUGUUGGCAGGGAGGGGAGCAGCGCAGCUGGGGGUUCCACGUGUAGCGGUGAAAUGCGUAGAUAUGUGGAGGAACACCAGUGGCGAAGGCGACUCUCUGGGCUGUAACUGACGCUGAGGCGCGAAAGCGUGGGUAGCAAACA
rnacentral:rRNA from 1 species